CGGCUGCGUCAGGAAGCGCCGCAGGUCGAAGGAGCCGCCUGCCUUGGCCGCGCCGUAGGCCCCGCUCUCCAUGUCGCCGUCGCCGUCGCCGCCGCCGCCGCCACCGCCGCCGCCGCCGCCGCGGAACGCUGAGGAACCUGCCCGGCGCCCCGCCCCGCUCCACCCGCCGGGGGCGUGGCCAGGCACCGCUAGGGACCGAGGGCAAAGUGCGGCCCUCGCGAGCGGCGGCGGGCCGCGGGACUGCGCUUCUAGCGGCUGGGAGGGGCUCUGGCCGCGGAGCACCGGUGUCCACCCUACCUCGGGGUCGAGGGGCUAGUUCCCGGGCCACGCCGGCCACAGCACGGACCAGAAAGGAAGGAAAAACUGAGGCUCAGCGAAGGGACAUGGCCCACCCAUGAGUCUGGCCUCUGGAAAGGACGGACUUGGCAGAAGUGAGAUGGGAGAGUGCCAAGGACAGAGUCCUGGCAGAGCCACGUAAGUGCCUGGGCCACGGCAGAGGAUGAGAACCAGGACACAGCAGUGUCUCCCAAACAAAGAGAGGCUUUCAUGGAGAAAUCUUCGACUUGAAGAAAGCGAAGGUGUAUUUGGAGGUGAAGGCACCCUCUGGGGCAUCCUCUUACAGAUGUCUCUGCUGAUUGGUCAAUUUGACCCUCAGGGCCAGAGGCCUUCUCUUCGUGGUCCAAAAACCAUCGCGGGGCCAGAAGCCAGCCUCAUGUGGGGAAGUGGGAGUCCAGGGCUGACAUGUCAUCACCCUUUCUUUUUGCUCCCUUUGUGAAGGGAAAUGAUCUUGACCUAUAAAAGUGGAAAGAAAAAAGCUA